rnacentral:rRNA from 1 species
GACGAACGCUGGCGGCGUGCUUAACACAUGCAAGUCGAACGGAAAGGCCCUGCUUUUGUGGGGUGCUCGAGUGGCGAACGGGUGAGUAACACGUGAGUAACCUGCCCUUGACUUUGGGAUAACUUCAGGAAACUUGGGCUAAUACCGGAUAGGAGCUCCUGCUGCAUGGUGGGGGUUGGAAAGUUUCGGCGGUUGGGGAUGGACUCGCGGCUUAUCAGCUUGUUGGUGGGGUAGUGGCUUACCAAGGCUUUGACGGGUAGCCGGCCUGAGAGGGUGACCGGCCACAUUGGGACUGAGAUACGGCCCAGACUCCUACGGGAGGCAGCAGUGGGGAAUAUUGCACAAUGGGCGGAAGCCUGAUGCAGCAACGCCGCGUGCGGGAUGACGGCCUUCGGGUUGUAAACCGCUUUCGCCUGUGACGAAGCGUGAGUGACGGUAAUGGGUAAAGAAGCACCGGCUAACUACGUGCCAGCAGCCGCGGUGAUACGUAGGGUGCGAGCGUUGUCCGGAUUUAUUGGGCGUAAAGGGCUCGUAGGUGGUUGAUCGCGUCGGAAGUGUAAUCUUGGGGCUUAACCCUGAGCGUGCUUUCGAUACGGGUUGACUUGAGGAAGGUAGGGGAGAAUGGAAUUCCUGGUGGAGCGGUGGAAUGCGCAGAUAUCAGGAGGAACACCAGUGGCGAAGGCGGUUCUCUGGGCCUUUCCUGACGCUGAGGAGCGAAAGCGUGGGGAGCGAACAGGCUUAGAUACCCUGGUAGUCCACGCUGUAAACGGUGGGUACUAGGUGUGGGGUCCAUUCCACGGGUUCCGUGCCGUAGCUAACGCUUUAAGUACCCCGCCUGGGGAGUACGGCCGCAAGGCUAAAACUCAAAGGAAUUGACGGGGCCCCGCACAAGCGGCGGAGCAUGCGGAUUAAUUCGAUGCAACGCGUAGAACCUUACCUGGGUUUGACAUGGAUCGGGAGCGCUCAGAGAUGGGUGUGCCUCUUUUGGGGUCGGUUCACAGGUGGUGCAUGGCUGUCGUCAGCUCGUGUCGUGAGAUGUUGGGUUAAGUCCCGCAACGAGCGCAACCCUUGUUCACUGUUGCCAGCACGUUAUGGUGGGGACUCAGUGGAGACCGCCGGGGUCAACUCGGAGGAAGGUGGGGAUGACGUCAAGUCACCAUGCCCCUUAUGUCCAGGGCUUCACGCAUGCUACAAUGGCUGGUACAGAGAGUGGCGAGCCUGUGAGGGUGAGCGAAUCUCGGAAAGCCGGUCUCAGUUCGGAUUGGGGUCUGCAACUCGACCUCAUGAAGUCGGAGUCGCUAGUAAUCGCAGAUCAGCAACGCUGCGGUGAAUACGUUCCCGGGGCU